GGAUUCCCCUAGUACGGCGAGUGAAGAGGGAAAAGCUCAAAUUUUGAAUCUGGCGCCCUCGGCGUCCGAGUUGUAAUCUAGAGAAGUGUUUUCCGUCGCGGACCGUGCAUAAGUCUUCUGGAAUGGAGCGUCAUAGAGGGUGAGAAUCCCGUGUAUGGCAUGGACUACCGUUACUCUGUGAUACACUCUCAACGAGUCGAGUUGUUUGGGAAUGCAGCUCUAAAUGGGUGGUAAAUGCCAUCUAAAGCUAAAUAUUGGCGAGAGACCGAUAGCGAACAAGUACCGUGAGGGAAAGAUGAAAAGCACUUUGGAAAGAGAGUGAAACAGUACGUGAAAUUGUUGAAAGGGAAACGCUUGAAGUCAGGCGCACCCUUGGGGACUCAGCCAUAGCUUCUGCUUGGUUUACUUCGCCUUGGGUGGGUCAACGUCAGUGUCGGUCAGAGGAAAAAGACUUGGGGAAGGUAGCAGCAUUUAUGCUGUGUUAUAGCCUCUUGUUGUAUACUUUGACUGGAACUGAGGAACGCAGCGCGCCUUUACGGCCGGGGCUUGCCCACGUACGCGCUUAGGAUGUUGGCAAAAUGGCUUUAAGCGACCCGUCUUGAAACACGGACCAAGGAGUCUAACAUGUGCGCAAGUGUUUGGGUGUAAAACCCAGACGCGAAAUGAAAGUGAAAUGUUGGGAACAUGUAAUGUGUGCACCGACGCCCGGAGCGGACCUUUUGUGAUGCAUCUGCGGUAGAGCGCAUAUGUUGGGACCCGAAAGAUGGUGAACUAUGCCUGAAUAGGGUGAAGCCAGAGGAAACUCUGGUGGAGGCUCGUAGCGAUUCUGACGU
rnacentral:rRNA from 1 species